ensembl:lncRNA
GCUGCUGUACCUUUUUCUAAGGUUUCUAAAUAAUAAACAUUUGAAUUUGGUUCUGUGAAAUGAAAUUAUUCUGUUGAGGAGGACGGUUGCUGGUUUGUUCCAGUCUACAGCUGAGAGAGGCUUUCCCACUCAAUCUCUUCUUUUAUGCCAUUUCUUGGAUUUGCAGGUCUCUCUUCUGUCUCCCACUCUUCAAACUUUCUGGACCUCUACACUCUACUUGGUAUUUUCUCAAUUGUUUGUGUGUUAAUGCUGCCGAGAGGGAAAAAUUCCUAAAAGAAGGAGAGGCAAUUUGACUGUGCUGUUUUGUGCUUGCACCUGGGUGACUGGUGGCUGACCAUCCAGCAAGUGGGUAAACAAAAAGCCACAAGCAGUCCUGGAAAAUGGAAACUCUGCCCCUUUAUCUGUUACAAAGCUGCACCAGUCUGCUGAGUGCAAAAAAUGCAUUGUUCAGUAAACCCAGCGAAGACCAUAAGAAGUCCUUAGCAAAAUAAGUUGCAUCUGGAAGCAUUCUAAGGACAAAAUUCAGUCAAAAACCUUUGAAGGGGAGGUCUAAGAACUGCAGCAUUUCAGACUCCAGGAUAAAGUUUUGGAAAAUUUCAGUUUAGGAUUCCAUUUCAUUCUCACAUUAGGCACCUAAAUCUUGUUUCUCACUUUUCUUUUGAAUAAGUAAAUGUGUGUAUAUAUAUAUAUAUGUAAUUUACUCAUUUAUUAAGUAUUUUCAUUCAAGUUUUCAAUCCAAAUUUCUGCUAUUGCACUUACUUGUGAAAUUGAAUGCACUCUGGAACAAUGUGAAUAAACUCCUUAGAAAUAGAAGAACUGCCUUCUUAGAUAAAGACUCAGCAUGUCAUAACCAAGGUUAGCUCCAAAAGGUCUUAGUACCUGUCAUUUCAAGGGCACAAAGAAAUAUCUUCAAGACUUCAUCUCAGCUGCUAUUUUGUUUUUCAGCUUAGCCUAAAAUAGUGUUUAUUACAAACUAGUAGUGUCUAAUGAGUAAGUAUGAUAAAAAUAACUUUCUAGACUUGAUAAAGAAAAAUAAACAAAGUGGCUUUGAGUGGUACAAUAAAUACUUUUUAUUUUUCAAUUGUAUUAGUACUUCUAAGUACACAGUUGCUUAUUGGUAUAUUAAAUAGUGAACCUAUUGAAUCUACACACUGCAAUGCUAAUGACUUUGUGUGUUUGAAAAUUGUUUAGGGAUGGUUAUCUUGUCCAGUUCAGAUAAGGCAGAGAUGUAUUCCCCACACAACUAGACGUGUUGGCCAUCUACAGGCAAACUCUGCUGUGGAUGCAUAAGAAAUACAUUUAUAAAUGUAUUUAUAUUAUAUUUUAGUAUUAUCAAAUAUCAAAAUAAUUUUGCAUAUGAACAUAGUUAGCAUGUAUCACCUGCUAGCCUUUUUUCUAUUAAAAAAAAAAAGAGAACCAAAGAGAGAAUUCUCAACUUUCUGUUUCUCUGCUUUUUGUAUAGUAUCUUUGGGCCGACAUCCGUGCAUUCAGUUUCCAAGAUCAAACUUUAUAUGCAUGUGUUAAAGACAGUUUCAACUCACAGCAACUCAAUACUUUUAUAUCAAAUUUAGUUGAUUUUGUAUUUGUGAUCUUCGCUAAUGUACCAGGAAAAUUAUAUUUGUAAAAGCACAGGCGUAAAGAAUUACAAAAUUGUUCUUUGUCCAUUGUAUUAUCUUGCAAUACAAUGGUAACAUGCUCAAUAUUCACUUGGCCCAGAAUAUGAACUCUUAGAGAUCCACAUUCCUCAUUUACAGGCAGGACUCACCAGUUAAGAAGACUCUCCUUAACCUAUGGGUGUGGGUAACCAGAGCUCUAACAGAGUACCUAUUUAUUUUAAUUAAUUGUUACUGUUACUUUCAAUAACUGAACAUCUGAGGAAUGAAGUGAGCAGUUGAUCCCAAAGCAACAAUGAAAGAAUGAACUGGAUGAUUAGAGGCAGGGCCCCAGAAAGUGAGUACAGCCCAGCAUCCUGUGCCAAAAGAAAGCACUUCAAGCACAUUCAAGUGCACUACAAGCUCCUGGGGGGAUUAGAACUAGUGGUACUGGAACAAGAGAGACAAAUAAUGCACAUAUCAAAGUAAGUAGUUACACUGUGUACAGGAAGUAUUAAAAUAUAACACAAAGAAUAAGAAAUGGAAGACAAUUCAAACCACUGUUGUCAGCACCAAAAAAGCCAACUUUUAUUUGUGAAGUGUAUUUCAGGAAAGUGGAAGAGAAAAGAAUAUAGAAAGCAGUAUAUGUAAGGAAAGAUGGAGGGUGAAGUUUGGGGUUAAGGCUCAGAAGUUUUUAAACAAAGUGUUUACUAAAUGAUGGAAUACUGUGUGAUCCACUUACAAAUAGGAGCUGAGCUUUUAUCUAUACUUAGAUAAGGCAUGCUUAAAUAAAUAAAUAAAUUUUGUAACUGGACAUCCAGAAAUGCUACUUGGGGCUGUGAAUUUGAACAAGUAGUAGGAAAAACAAGAAACCUAAAGCACGAGCAAGUGUGACUCAAGGACUGUGUCAAAAGUAGCAGGAUAAAGCAACUGUAACUUCCCCUUUGGAUUUGGAAAAGCAUUCGAAGUAGUAAAAUGAAGUAGAUAGCCAGAUAGUCUCAUUAAAAUAGCAACAAUAAAUGACCCUUUCUCAAGCAAGGCCAAGUAAUGAUACUGAUUUGGACUCAACAGCAGGAGCUGGAAAAGAAUCUUUUCCCCUGUUUGGCUAGCUUCCCCCAUUUAAGAACUUCAAACAUUGCUGGGCUUCUCCAUUUUUAUUUUAUUUUUUUUUUAAUUUAUUUCCAUGCCUAGGGAAGCCAAUUUGGAGAGAAGGGUCCUGCUCUAUGCAUUACAAUGUCAGGACUCAAGUGCAAAGUAACUUAUAGUACCGGCACAUCUUGAACCAUAAGAUUUUGGAGAAAAUCCUAUAUAAAACUUUUCCUAACCUCAGGAGACUCAUUACUAUCUUCCUUAUCAAAUCCCAUCUCAGUAAUGGGCUACACAGGGAAUGUAAUCUCUAUGACUGUUGGGCAGUGGAACCUAGACAAGGUACUCUACAAAAAUGAAGUAUUAUUUUCAGACUAUUGCUCAGACAUUGUGUUUGUUCACCAGUAAGUUAAAUAACCAAUACACAAUGUCUGUUUUUAUACCAUUUCAGCCUUUAAAAAAAAAUCACUCUAGGAAAAAACAACUUAUCUUCUGCAAAAAGAAGCCCAUUAAUCUUUCAAGAAGCAAUAAAUGGCAGAAUGGCAGACAUUUCUAAUGUGUAGGUGUUAUGGGAGGGAGGGAAGGAGUCUAGGGACAGGAAGGGUGUCUAGUUACCAUGCUAAACCUUAGCCUUUUAGAAUGUGACUAUUUUAUUAUGAAUUGAGGCAUACAGGCUGCUGUCAGCUGUUGGUCUUCAAACUUUCAUUGAACACCUAUUCUUCAAUUAUUAUUAUUUUUUUUUAACUCCCAGCUUUGUUGACAUCAUUUGUCUUACCUUUCUGCCUCUUCUUUUUCAAUGUACUAGUUGUUGAGAAAAGAAUGAAGUGUAUGCUGACUAAGCCUUUUUUUUUUUUCUUUUUUUUUCUUUUUUGAAAGGAAGUAAGGCAGAGUUGUAAAAUCUGAAAAAGAGCAAAGGAGUGAGGUCCUCUGACCAGUUGUUAGCUGUCUUGAGAGUGAGCACUAAAUGAAAUGAACUAGCUAAUUCUCAGACGUGAAUACAUUUGCCAAGUCACUGGCUGCGAGAAUACUGUUUAGGGAUUGUUCAUACAGCAUCAUUAUGCAGUUUGUGAUCGAUCUUAAAGAUGAUAAUCAGUGGCAUGACUGUUUACCCUAACCAGUACAUACAGAGAUGAUGUGGCAGAUAUUUAUUCUAAGUUUAGAAAAACAACUGGGAACAGAGUAAAGGUUUUCCAAAGAAAUACUCAAGUGUUCCUCUCUGAGAAACUUUGUUCCUGUGUUUUUACUACAGUAGGAUAGUAAAUAAGCUAAUGCAAUUUCUGAGUCCUUUGCCAUCUCAUCUCUUACAAAUGAUUCUCUUUCAAAUCACCCAUAACUGCUUAAAAUGAAAACAAAUACCAAACAUUGGAGACAGCCUGUAGUUGUUUUGUUUUGUUUUGUUUUGUUUUUCAAAAAAAAAGUCAUCUUUUGUGUUUCAGUAGUAUGUAACUAAUAGAUAGAACACCACCAAAAAAGGCAACCAGGAAAGUCCAAAGUUAACCACACUGCUAGGAUUCCUACUGACCCAAAUUCUUAGAACAUUCAUCACACACUGGACAAAUACAAGGAGCCAUAUCUGACAAGAACAUUGUACUUAUAGCAUAGAUAAGUUUAUCCUAGAUCUGGAGUUCUCUUUUCACUUAAUGUGCUCUGCAAGGCUAGGAAAAAAAAACAGAUAGGACCGAGUUAGCGUGAAAAGAAAGAAGUUACUUAGCAGGAAUGAAGACUAUCCAUAAUCACAUCAGAACUGAGCUAUUUCCAUGAAACAUUUUAACUUCCAAUUAGUACAUUCGGUGAGGAAAACAGCGUGGCUCUCUGUAUCAAGAUAAGAACCUCUUACGUUACCUAAGUAUGCUUCAUGACAGGUGAAGAGCAAGGACAUAGGAAAAUAAUUAGACUGUGGGAAAAGAAUGGCCUCCCUCAAGGAGUAUGCAAAUAAAGUACAAAUGUCUAUAGUCUCUCAGAAACCAGUAACAUAAAUAAGACAUAUGAGACAAUUAGAAUUGUUUUCAGUUUUCUUUCUAGCAAUCUCCCAAAUAUUAGCAUUAAGAAACAAUAUGGAAGAAGAUCAAGUAGAAUUUCAAUGCAGGCAUUUGUUUUCAAAUUCUGAGAUAUACAUGCUUCUCUCACCUCUCAUCAGAAAACAUGUGCAGAACUGGUUUUCAUGCAAGCAAAUAAAAAGAACUGUACCUAGUUUACUGUACAUACGUUGUGUAGUUACUACUCAUUGCAUUUCUGUCUCUCACUCUCUUCAUCGCCGUAGAAAAAUAGCUUCCCACUACAUCAACAUGCAUCAGACAGAAUUGUAAACAUUUUAUUGUUAUUCUCAUAGUGAAAAAAUGCAUUCAAAUUGAUUAGCUUUUAGCAAAAAGAAUGGCCUGUGUUUCCUGUUCUUUCCUUGGCCAUUUCCUGUCUCAGUUGUUUUUGGUUACAGAUACAGACACUGAACAUUCAUUUCACAGCACAUGACAGGACAGGUUUUGAUGACAGGAGCCUGAGUGGUCAAACUGCAUUUGAUGACAAGUGUCAACCUCUGAAGUUUCUGUUGCAGUGCUCACUAAAACUUCAACAAUCAAGGAAGGAUGCCAGUUUAGUUUACUUCCUGCACGGUUCCCCUGCUGGCAAAAGAAGAGGGCAGGAUGCAGUAUCAGCAACCUUAGGGCUUUUGUCUUCUAGAGCAAAUGCUGGCCAGGCAGGCGUGAGCAGGCAAGUAACAGUGACUUCCAGGACUAGGAAAAGAGACUGAAGCAUGGCACAGAAAGCAUACUUGGUGCCAGACACAUCCAGGCAGGGAAGAUGGAAACACAUCAAACAAAGCCUGGUAGCUCACCCACACAACCAGCUUUUGCUCAGAUCCUUCUGAUUCUGAAUUACUGGAUUAUUAGUCUUUGAAUUCACAGUUAAUUUUUUGACAGGCUGAACUAGUUCCAUGGAAGUUGUACCAUUCUGGGAGGUAUAGGCAUAGGUUAGAACAUACCAGUUCACUGCUCUCAAGGCACUAAGGCUGCACUGGGUUAAUGGUUACCACAUGCAUGUACAAAUCCCAGGAUCUAUUUCCCUCAUCACCUCAAGAUACUGGAAAAAAAGUGAUCUGACUUAGAGUCUCUUACAGCAGAGUAAAGCAGAGCCUUAAAGCUGUUUCCCUGUUGUGGUUUUGUGAUUUUUGUCGGUAUUCCACAUCAGAGCAUCAUGUAAAGCAGUGGGAGUUAAAGAGUUUAUGUUCUGGUUCUGUGGACUGCCUUUUUUGGGCAUUUUGGGUUCUCAGAGGGGAGGGGAGGGAAGGAGCCGCAUUCGCAGAGGACCUGACACGCAGAAUAAGAAAGGUGGAGCUCCUGGCAGGACGGCAGCCACUCGCUAUCUGUCUUGGUUUGUCGCUGAGGAAAGCACGUGCUUCCCUGCAGUCUACUAGUGUAAGGCCUCAAAUUUUGGAUACUCUUUUCUCUCUUAUUUUGUUUGAUUUUGUUGGAUUUAGUAAAGUACCGUUCCUCCUCAGAGCGUUGCCGUUGUUUUUUUUGUUUGUUUUUGUUUGUUUUUGUUGUUGUUGUUGUUUGUUUUUUUUUUGUCAGACCCAUCUACUGUCUCCCUACCCUUCCCCCUCUCCUGGAACGCACAGCCUGCCCGGGCCGGCCCUGCUGCAAAAGGUGCUGAGCCAUAAUCCAGAAGAUAAACCACUGUAAAAGAAGAAAACAGCAAACCAUAGGCUGCAGCUCUUGGACCUCACUUGCUUUUCUUGUCACGUUAUGCUCAGUAUUUCAGACUGGUAAACCUUACCAGCCACGAUUCAGGGAAUGGGGCUGGUGGAAGAAAAGGACAACACUGCUUUGAGCUUCUUUCCCUGUCUGCCCCUUCCAGUCAUGCCCUUACCACUAAACAGUUCUCUUUCACCUUCUGCAGCACAGCCCAUCAUGUCACUGAUCAGAUGGCUUCAGCAGCACCAGUUCAACACAUCACAUGGCCGUGGGGGGUUUCUGGUCACCCCCUCUCACUAAGAGGAGCUCCUAUCAUUGGCCUAAUGACUGCAGGUCCGUGAGUUUCCCAAACAACUAAAAAUGCUGAGUUCUGAUAGGAGCUGUAGCUUGACCUCAGAAAAUGCAUAUUUAUUCUGCCCCAUGUAAACCAGCAGCUGAUCACUUCUGCCACCUGAUGCUUGGUAAGAAAUAUAUGUAAAGAUCCCCUCUGCCACCAAAAUCCAUACGGAAGCCCGUAUUUCCAAGACUUAAGACAACAGAUGCCUGGAUAUGCAUAUGCUCCCAACUGGCUGUCAUACAGGGUUAUUAUGCAGUGCAGGAGCCAGCCUCCAGAGUUAGCCAGCUUCCCUUUGCUUUAUUUACUCAGUAAUGUCAGCCCCAUUCUUGAGCUAGGAACCUCUGCAGCAGCAGCAACUGUGACAUUGUUAAGUAAGUCAGGCAAGGGUAAUUACCAGCUUGUUUACAUAUAAAGAUGAUCUGUGAUGAGAAAGACAACUCAGGAAAAGUACAGCAUGAUUAACUACAGGUAAAACACCAGACUGUUUGUUUAAGCUUUCCAUUGAUACAGCAGUAAUUCUCUCUCUCUCUCUCUCUCUCUCUCUCUCUCACAAGAACCGCUGCACAGUUUACUCUUUCAGUUUUUCAACAUUUUUAAAUCAAAACUCAGCAUCUCUAUCACAUGCAUUUUUCCCUUCAUAGGCUAUCUAUGUUGCUAGGUUGAGUAGUAGCUGAACAGCUCUCCCAUGCAGACACAUUACAGAAGUAUAAAAUAUCACCACCAUUUAAUGAGACUGGUGAGUAUGCCUUUGUUACAGCUUUUGUUUUAAAUCCAGUACUGUGGCUGCCUCCUAGGGCCCUGAAGUAAGCACUCUUUAAAAAGAGCGACAGAUUUAUUCCUCCACUCUGAAUAAGUGAAAAUGUGUUUUGUUGAAACCUCCAGAGAGUAACUGGCUUUACUAUAGAAUCCCCUUUUGUUUAUGGGCUUGAUGAAAACAUUUGGCAUUUAAUGAUUCCCAGGCUAUUCCAAGUUUAAAAAAAAAAAAAAAAUCAAGUGUGCUGAGUGUUAAAAUGUUUUCCACCAACCUCAAAGCAAAUUUAAUAUAAAGACUUGUUUCAGGUAUCAAAUUAGGGUGGAAAUGUUAUGCUUACUGACUCCUACUUUUUAGCAUUUAGACUCAGUAUAAUGCCACACGUUGUUCUUAAAACAGCGUGGGGUAUGAGGGAGACCUACAGAGGUGGCCACCUGAAAUCCAACCAUUCUCCUCUCAGCUUUAGCUUUAUCAUCUGCUGCUCCUCACAUCUUCAAUUUCUUCACAAAAAGAACUCAGAACUAUUUCCAUUUAGAGUAGUCAGGAAUUUACCAGCAGAAAACUUUUAAAUGUAAAACACAGAUAAUGGUUUUUUCGGGUUUGGUUUUUCCUUUGGAGAAGUAACCACUGACCAGUCACUUCCCACUUAGACAUCAUAGAUUUCUCUUUAAGAAAAGCUGAGGUGUAAUUUGCUCAUCUUAUCCUGCUCUCUAGCCAAUAUAUUUCUGCUUCUCAGCACUUCCUCCUUCUAAGCCACCUCAUGGGCUCUGUUCUUAAUAUCAGUCUUUACUUACAGAAACUGCAAAACAUAUUCACAACCAUGCAGAAUAUAGCAUGUGAAGUGCUUACUUAGUUUUGUGGGAAAGGAUCCUAGGGCUGAAUGGCCUUAGAGAUACAUUUUUUUUUUCUAUAGAUGGAAAAGGUAAAUAGCCUGGGAAACUUAUCUUUAAAAACAAGAAUAACUAUUUUAUAUUUUUCCUUUCAGGGAAACAAAAUUUGUACAGAAGACAUUUAUGUUAUUUGCAUGGAUCACUAGGCAUAAAGAUGACUGACACCAUAUAACAACUGGGCAUACAAAAGAAUCACUCUAUCAAAGAAGACCUCUACACUUAUUUUCCUCACCACCACCAUCUCAGAGCUCAUAGAACUCCGAGUUUUGCUGCUGGAAUGUCCAUGAACUUGGAGGAGCCUGGUUUCCUGACAUCAGAAAGCUGUUCUACCAAAGCCACAGUAUGACACCAGUGCAACUUAAAGGAUGUCACAAACUCCUCCAGGGCAGCACUGGCUACAGACAGAGGUUAAAUUUCGUCAUCACCAUGGAUACUCAGGACAAUAUUACAAUAGAGCAUUAGCACUGCUGAUCUCAGGAGCACCAGGUGAAAUGACAGCUAUUCUGGUGUAACAGAAGAGAUAGGAGCAGUAAAUUACUUUUAAAAAUAAAAGCUUGCAUACAAGUUUCCAUCAUUAAAUCGUUGUAGAAUGACACUGUAUAUGUAUUUACAGUACGUCCCUUUUCAUAACCUGUCUUACAGUGAUGCCAGCUGAAAGGAAACACACACACAAGUUUUCCUCAGCUCCCCUAGCCACCGAGCAGCUGUUCCUCUGCAGAAGAGGAGAACAAGGAGAGGGCUCCUCAACGAAAACCAGUUCCAUUACAGGUGGACAUCUCCCUAACUACAGCCCCCAUACUGUGGGCAUGCCCAAGAACACAGAAACCAUGCUCAUGAAAAACACCUAGCGAUAUUAACUCACCAACAGGAAUGGAAAAUGCCUUCAUGUUUUGCCUACACUCAAAUAUACUCUUGCCACUCCAGCUCCAUAUCAAAUACAGAGCAGGCUAGCAAAUUACAGAAGCUGGAGCAGAUCUCGUUAAUAGGUAUUUGACAGAAAGCGCCUCAAUAAUGCACAAAUCUUGUAGGUAAACUUCCUUCUGUUUUGAGUUGAAUGAAUGAGGCCUUGUCCCUUACCUCAGAUGUGGUGAUAGGGUCAACUACCCAAUACCAGUAUCAAAGAAACACAGUAAUAAACAACAGAAGACAAACCAUGUUAGGCCAUGCUGCACAAACUGUAAAUUCAACAACAGCAUAAAACCAACGAUACUUGGAAUGCUAUCAAAUCAACAGAAAAAGUAUUUUUGCAGUGUUCAGACUGCUUCCUCUUGUGCAGGCUUGGAAUAAAACAGUUUAUUCAACUGUGAGAUCCAGAGAGAUUUAGUAAAAACAGCAUGGAAGGAAUGCCAUCACAGGCAUAAAUUAAGAGCCUCAUUGGUAAACAAAGCUACACAGUUCUCAUCCCAUUAGCAGACAAACUUGGUGAUGUUUUCCAGCCUUAAUGAUUCUGUGAUUCUAUGUUUGAGAAGUCUUCUGAACUCUAGUAUAUGGGGCACAAUAAUGGAUGCAAGAGGCCAGGCUGAUGCCAGGCUUGCUGGGAACAUCUGACCUUAAAGAUGCCACCAGCUGAAAAACAGCUGUAUCAUGAAGCAACUCAUGACUCCAGUUAACUGAGUCCUUAUAGAAAAAUAGCACAUGCCUCUUCAUGCACCUGCAAUACGAACCAAAAAAAUUAGCCAGAAAUACUGGCCUUUCAGAGGUACUCAAGUGAACAUGCUUACAAUAGGAAUUUACUUUACGAAGUGUUGUUUGCCAAGUUUGACAAAGUUUGACUGCCAAAUGCUGCAGAUCUAAACAAGCUAUAAUGGUUGCCCACAUCCGACUUACAGCAUUGAAAUUAAUCGUGUGUUGCUGUAAAUCCUGAAAUCUGUGCUACCUCCUUACAGAGGAAUCCAGAUACGUGGCCCAGAACUUAAAAACUUCUGGAUCAGCUCCUAGUGAAACUCCCCUGAGGUGAUCAGGGAGGCUUUAAUCUUUAUCACCCACCAGGCUAGCAAAUUAGCUCUGAGAGGAGCUCUUCUAGGUAGGCAGAUACUGACUGACAUCCAGUUAGGCACAGUAAUACCACCCUGCUGCUUGGCAGUAGGCAGGGCAGUAAGCAACGCAACAUGUGGGCAUCAGGUUUACAAAGUUGAUUGGAGGAUCACCGCCCAACACCAGUUGGGAAGACUGAAAUUCUAAUUAAUCUGUUUAUGCAAGCAAUCUAUUUCCAGCACUAGCAGAUAGUAUUUCAAGAAAAAUUUAAAACAUGACUAGUUUUGUAAGCAGCAUAUUUACUAUACUCAUAUUACCAGUGAUACCUAUGAGUAGCAUGUUUAGAAUGGACUUGAAAACAGAAAACCAGUUCUUUCAGAACCUCCUUAAUAUUUAUAGCUCUAUUGGAGGCAUAGUGUCUACCCUCCACCUGGGGAUAGAUGAGGAGCUGACAGAGAGCUUAUGGGUUAGGGUUAAAAGACGCAGGGGAAGGAGACACUGUAGUGGGAGUCUGCUACAGGCCAACCACCUGGUCUGGAAAACCAAGCAGAUGAGGCCCUCUACAGAUAGAAGCAGCUUCAUGUUCACAAAACAUGGUCCUCAUGGGGGAUUUCAGCCAUCCCAAUACUUGUUGGAGGGACAACACAGCAGAGCACCAGAAAUUGAAGAUGUUCCCGGAAUGCAUUGAUGAUAACUUUCUCUUCCAAGUGGUACAUGAACCCAUGAGAAAAAUGCUAUGCUGGACCUUGUUCUCACUAAUGAGGAGGGACUGGUGAGUAAUGCAAAGCUCAAGGGCAGCUUUGGCUGCAGUGACCACGAAACAGUGUUGUUCAAGAUCCUUACGGCAUCAAAGAGGGUGUGCAGCAAGCUUGCUACUCUGGACUUCAGAAGCACAGACUUCGAACUCUUCAGGGAACUACUUGGCAGGGUGACAUGGGAUAAAGCCCUGGAGGGAAGAGGGACCUAAGAAAGCUGGUCAGUAUUCAAGGACCAUCUCCUCCAAGCCCAGAAGCAUUGCACCCUGAGAAAAAGGCAGGCAGGCAGGCAAGAGUGCCAGGAGGCCUUCAUGAAUCAACUAGGAGUUCCUGGACUUCCUUAAGUAGAAAAAUAAAGUAUAUAGGGAGUGGAAGCAGGAGCAGGUUGCCUGGGAGGACUACAGGGGAGUGGAAGCAGGAGCAGGUUACUUGGGAGGACUACAGAACAGUCGUCUGAGCAGCUAGGGAUCAUGUUAGGAAAGCUAAAACCUAGAUAGAAUGAAAUCUAGCCAGGUACAUAAAGGGGAACAAGAAGAAAUAUUACAGGUUUAAUUAGUGAUUAAAGGUCAGGGAAGAUGUGGGUCCCUCUCUGGGAGGAAACUGAAUACCUGGUCACAAGGGAUAUGGAGAAAGCCAAGGUGCUCAAUGGCUUCUUUGCUUCAGUCUUCGCUGGCAAAGGCUCUAUUCAUGCUGCCCAAGCUGCAGAAAGCAAUGGUAAGAAGCUGCUCACUCUAAGUGAAGAUCAGGUUCAAGACCGUCUAAAGAACCUGAAGGUGCACAAGUCCAUGGGAACUGAUGAGAUCCAUCCACAGGUUCAGAGGGAACUGGCAGAUGAAGUUGCCAAGCCACUAUUUAUCAUAUUUAAAAGGUUGUGGCAGUCUGGUGAAGUUCACACUGAUCGGAAAAGGGGAAACGUAACCCCCAUUUUCAAGAAGGGAAAAAAAAAAGAUCCAAGGAACUACAGGUCAGUCAGUAUCACCUCUGCACCUGGCAAGAUCACAGAGCAGAUCCUCCUGAAGGCCCUACUAAGGCACAUGGAAAAUAAAGAUGAGGUGAUUGAUGAUAACCAGCAUGGCUUCACCAAGGGCAAGUCAUGCCUGACAAAUGUAGUGGCCUCUUAUGAUGGAGUCAUAGUGUCAGUGGAUAAAGGAAGAACAACUGAUGUCAUCUACCUAGAUUUGUGCAAAGCAUUUGACACUGUCUGACACAUCAUCCUGGUCACCAAAUUAGAGAAAAAUCAAUGUGAUGGAUGGAUCACUCACUGCAUAAGGAAUUGGCUGGAUGGUUACACUCAGAAAGUUGCAGUUAACAGCUCAGUGUCCAAUGUGCUGGGAUUGAUGUUAUUUAACAUCCUUGUAGGUGACAUGGACAGUGGGACCAGACUCACGCUCAGCAAGUUUGCAGACAACACCAAGCUGAGUGGUGCAGAUGACAUGCUAGAGGGAAGGAAUACUAUCCAGGGAGAAUCAGAAUCACCAAGGUUGGUAAAGACCUGUAAGAUCAUCCAGUCCAGCCAUCCACCUAUAACCAAUAUUUCCCACUAAACCAUGUCCCUCAGUACAACAUCUAAACAUUUCUUGAACACCUCCAAGGGAUGGAAGGACCUGGACAGGCUGCAGAGGUGGGCCCAUGCCAACCUCAUGAAGUUCAUCAAAGUCAAGUGCAAGGUCCUGCAACUGGGUCAGGGCAAUCCCAAGCACAGAUAGAUGUUGGGCAGAGAAUGGCUUGAGAGCAGCCCUGAGGGGAAGGAUUUGGGGGUGUCAGUUGAUGAAAAAUUCAAUAUGAGCUGGCACAGUGCACUUGCAGCCUAGAAGGUCAACUGUAUCCUGGGUUGCAUCAAGAGAAGCUUGACCAGAAGGUCAAGGAUAGUGAUUCUUCCCCCCUGCUCCUGUGACACCCUACCUGGAGUACUGUGCCCAGUACUCUGGGGCCCUCAACACAAGAACAUGGAGAUGUUGGAGCAGGUCCAGAGGAAGGCCACAAAAAUGAUCAGAGGGCUGGAACACCUCCCCCAUGAGGACAGGCUGAGAGAGCUGGAGCUCUUCAUUCUGGAGAAGAGAAGGCUCUGGGGGGGAACUUUAUAGCAGCCUUCCAGUACCUGAAGGGGCCUACAGAAAAGCUGAGGAGGGACUUUUUACAAGGGCAUGUAGCAAUAAGAUGAGGGGAAAUGGUUUUAAACUGGAAGAGGGUAUAUUCAGACUAGAUAUCAGGAAGAAAUUAUUUCCUGUGAGAGUGGUGAGACACUGGAACAGGUUGCCCAGCAAGGUUGUGGAUUCCCUCUCCCUGGAAGCAUUCAAGGCCAGGCUGGAUGGCUGUGAGCAGCCUGAUCUAGAUGGAGGUGCCUAUAGCAGGGGGCUAGGCUAGAUCAUCUUACAGAUCCCUUCCAACCCAACCCAUUCUAUGAUUCUAUGAUAACAUCUUCAUUAAUUCAGAUAUUAACACCUGAAAACAGCAAUUUUUUGCCUUAAUAUUUCUGCAUCCAAGAUCUGCAUUUGCAGCUAAGAGAUAAUGACAUCUUUAACUGUACAGUAAUAACUAAACAGUUAGUCAGCAGCAGUUGUUUAAUCAAGUUUGUUUUGUUUUUCAACUGAAGUGUUUAAGUGGCAUUGAAGGACACUGGGUGACUACAAUUUUUGAUCACUAAAUAAUACCUGUCUACACUCUAACCGGUUUCCUACUGUAGGAAAAAAUAUUUCUACCAUUCAUUUCACCAUGAAGAAGGCAUGUGAAACAGAGGGAAAGAAUCACAUCCUAAAGUUGCCUCUUUCCCUCCAAUGAUUUUAAAAGGAACCUGAAGUACAGCUAAGGGAAAGGCAUCUACAUCAGGCAAAUCCUAUGCACUGUUCCUGGCAAAGUCUCCAGGAACUAUGUGAUCACUGCACUUAGGUACAAGAAUCACACCAUUAUCAUUUAUGUUUUAAACUUGCGUACAAAAUAUUUUUGUGUUCCAUUUUUAUUUCCCAG